AAGAUCCCCUGGAAGAGGGCAUGGCAACCCACUCCAGUAUUCUUGCCUAGAGAAUCCUGUGGACAGAGGACUACAGUCCAUAGGGUUGCACAGAGUCAGACGUGACUGAAGCGACUUAGCCUGCAUUGCUAACCUCCAGGGCCUCAGCUGCCCUGCUUUAAAGGAGGAAACAGAAUUGCAUCAGAAUUGAGCAAGUGAAUCUCCAAUGGCCAAUGAUUUACCAAUCAUGCUUCAGUGAUGAAGCCAGACUAAAAAAACCCACAGGAGUUGGAGAGCUUCCAGGUCGAACCCGACCAAACAGCGGGAAGGUGACGUAACUCACCUCCACAGGGGAGGAGACUCCUGCGCUCAGGACCCCUCUGGACGUCACCCUGGGGACCUCCUCCCCUGGCAGUUCAUCUGUAGCCCUUAUGAAAAACUGGCAGAUUGAGUCGUGGUCUCUGCUCUCAAGACUCAAUCUAGUUGAGAAGAAAAAGCUUUGACUCAGCGCACAGUCUGUUCCUGCAGGAAGCAAUGAAGAGAAACACCAACCCCAGCCCAUCCUCAGCUGCAGCCUCGGUCCCUCCGUUUGGCCCGACCUCUCUGGUCACUUCGGUUCUAAGAUUGGCUGAGAACAGCCCACCGAGGUGCCCACCCUGACCCAGCUCUUUCCCAGGGCCUGCUUGCAGGAGAUUAUGCCAGAGAAACAAUCAAGUGUGCUCAUCCACAUCCCACACACUACCUCAGGCUCCCUGGAAAAGCCCACCCCACCCGCUGUAGCUGUUUCCAUGACUGCCUUUAGGGGACGCAGAAGAAACGCGCCCCCAGCCCACGCGGAGGGGGCACACCUGGUGGGAGAGGCUGGACCAAUGCUGAGCCUGACCAUUCCUGUCCUUCUCAACUUCAUGACUGAGUGACUCAUUGUGAGGAAGAGGUAGUUAUCCCACCAUGGUUUUCCUUCUGUAACAAAUAUCCUGUGUUUUAUCAAACUGUGGUGCUAAAAGAAGAGAAAUAGAAUAUUGGAAAGAAGGAAAUUGUGUGCCUGUAUGGGAGAGAAGAGAUGGGUAAAAAGCCAAUCAAUCUAAAGGAAAGAGGGGUGAAAGGAGACACCUGUAAAGAUGGAUGCAGUAGCUAGAAAACACCAAACAAGACGGACAACCUUAGUGCUAAGGUACCAGUAAUUACAUUUCUUAUAAAUAUAGUGGGCUUGUCAGUUAUAAGACAGAUUUCUUAGAGUGGAAAAAAUACUGCCAUCUGCUAUUUACAAGAGACUUACCUAAAA